rnacentral:rRNA from 1 species
CGCCUUGCCAGCCCGCUCAGAACUCAAAGGAAUUGACGGGGGCCCGCACAAGCGGUGGAGCAUGUGGUUUAAUUCGAUGAUACGCGAGGAACCUUACCUGGGCUCAAAUGUAUGUUGACGUAUUCUGAAAGGGAUACUUCUUCGGACAAUAUACAAGGUGCUGCAUGGUUGUCGUCAGCUCGUGCCGUGAGGUGUCGGGUUAAGUCCCAUAACGAGCGCAACCCCUACCUUUAGUUGCCAUCAGGUAAUGCUGGGGACUCUAAAGGAACUGCCUACGCAAGUAGUGAGGAAGGCGGGGAUGACGUCAAAUCAGCACGGCCCUUACGUCCAGGGCUACACACGUGCUACAAUGGCCGAUACAGAGGGCAGCUACCUGGUGACAGGAUGCAAAUCUCCAAAGUCGGUCUCAGUUCGGAUCGGAGUCUGCAACCCGACUCCGUGAAGUUGGAUUCGCUAGUAAUCGCGCAUCAGCCAUGGCGCGGUGAAUACGUUCCCGGGCCUU